UACGUAGGGUGCGAGCGUUAAUCGGAAUUACUGGGCGUAAAGCGUGCGUAGGCGGUUCGUUAAGUUCGUUGUGAAAGCCCCGGGCUCAACCUGGGAAUGGCAAUGGAAACUGGCGGGCUGGAGUAUGGCAGAGGGGGGUGGAAUUCCGCGUGUAGCGGUGAAAUGCGUAGAGAUGUGGAGGAACACCGAUGGCGAAGGCAGCCUUCUGGGCCAACACUGACGCUCAUGCACGAAAGCGUGGGGAGCAAACAGG
rnacentral:rRNA from 1 species